rnacentral:rRNA from 1 species
AUGGCCGGACCAUCUCUCCCUACGCCACCGCCGGUGAAGGAGCCACAGACGGUGGCUGCGAAGUCGGGGACAACGGUCGAUGCCCUCCCCGUGGACAGCCUCCGCAACAUUCUCCGUCGCCUCUCCCUCGCCGACCUUCUCCGUGCCGCCCUCGCCUGCCACCGCUGGCGCCGCGUCGCCGCACGCUGCAUCCCCCGCACCGCUCCUCUCCUCGGCUACUUCUUCCACCCCACCGCCACCGGUUUGCCAGCGCCCCUGCACUCGCAAUCCAAGGAGAUCGAUACCCCCGCCGUCUUCGCUCCCUUGGACGCCUCCUCCCCGAACCUCUCCCUCGACUUCGCUCCGGGGGCCUCCCGCUACGUGCUCCACGACUGCCACCAAGGCCUCCUGCUUCUCGAACCGUUCGCGUCGCUCCCCAAGGGGACCAUCCCACGCUUCCUCGUCCUCGACCCGGCCACCCGCCGCCGCGUGCUCCUCCCACCGCCACCGCGCGACACGGUGCCCGACGACCACCGCUGGCGCCGCUCCAGGUACUACGUCGGCUCCGCACUGCUCUCCCGCGCGCACCCGAGCAAGCUCUGCUUCGAGGUCGUCUGCUUCGCCAUCGACGGCGGGCACCCGCGCGUCUGGGUCGCGUCCGUCGACGACGGCCGAUGCAGCUGGCGCGCCCACCCGCGGACCAUGGAGCUAGAGGUCGAUUUCGACCCCUGGUUGUUCGAAGGGCGCUGCGUGCACGCCGCCGGGAAGAUCUACUGGCACAUCUGCAACUCCUACCGCAUGCUCGUGCUGGACCCUGCGACACUGCACUUGUCCUACCUGCUGGCGCCGGCUGUACUGUCCGACCAUUUCUGCACGUACCGCGUCGGGGAGACGCCGGAGGACGGCCGGCUCUGCCUCCUGGCCGUGGGGAGUCGUUCGAGGCAGCUGCAGCUCUGGGUCCGCGCGGAGGCCAGAGGGAGCGACAAUGGGUGGUUUCUGGAGAGGGAGAUGCUCAACAUGCGCGUGGUGUGGGACGCAGUGCCAGGCCUGCCCAAUGACCUCGCCCACAGGAUCUUCAGUGUUUGGCCCAGCGACAUGGACGCGGGGCGUACCGGGAAGGUGUUCAUCAGAACCAUAGGAUAUGGGCGCUACUCCUUACAUCUGGACACCGCCAAGAUUGAGCCCCUGCACACCAAACAUGGCAAGGAGUACGGCCACCCGAUCUAUGCCUACUUCCUCGCGUGGCCGCCUGCCUUCCUCGCUCCAGAAUACUGA